rnacentral:rRNA from 1 species
AAACGGAGGAUGCGAGCGUUAUCCGGAGUUAUUGGGUUUAAAGGGAGCGUAGGUGGGAUAUUAAGUCAGCUGUGAAAGUUUGGGGCUCAACCUUAAAAUUGCAGUUGAUACUGGUUUCCUUGAGUACGGUACAGGUGGGCGGAAUUCGUGGUGUAGCGGUGAAAUGCUUAGAUAUCACGAAGAACUCCGAUCGCGAAGGCAGCUCACCGGGCCGGAACUGACACUGAUGCUCGAAAGUGCGGGUAUCAAACAGGAUUAGAUACCCUGGUAGUCCGCACAGUAAACGAUGAAUACUCGCUGUUUGCGAUACACUGUAAGCGGCCAAGCGAAAGCGUUAAGUAUUCCACCUGGGGAGUACGCCGGCAACGGUGAAACUCAAAUGAAUUGGCGGGG